CAAUUUCCAUAAGGUGAAUACAGAAAGGAACUACAAGCAUUGGAAAUGAAUGGGGGAGUUUAAUUCAGCCGCGUUUCACUCCCACUGAGGAGGCAUACAGAUGGCUGCACAGAACUCAGCAAAAACAGAGCCAGGAGUCAGGGAGAGGGAGACUUCAACUGGGGUUUCGAGUGGAGUUGCUCAUUUAUUUCCCCCUGUAUCAGUCUGCCUCCUGGGAUAUCGCAUGGACAGCUGGCCUAGGCAGGAUUUUGCAAAAGGAAAGAAGAAUAUUCACACUAAGGUCCCUGAAGCCACACUUCUGCAAACUAGCAGCUACCAAAAAGGUCAUCACUGGCUGCAGUCCCUGAAGUUUGUCCCUCUCCUGGCUCUGGUUACCCAUAAGGUCACCACAUACAUCCUCAAGGACACCUCGUCACAUCUCCCAUGCCAGUGUCUACCACUCUUUGCCAAGGUGAAGAUCCAUGGCUAUAAAAAGCUAAUGAAUGAGAAUGGGAGUAACUUCACUAGAUCCUCAGUAAUUAUUUGGGAUUUGUUGAAUAUCCAGUGAUUAUGUGGCAUUCGAGAUAUUCCACACAUUGUCUAUUUGUCUUGCAGUGCUGCUAUUCCUGACGCUCACUUUUCCUGAUGCUCAUUUACAGCACAGUUCAUAGCAGUUUAGCCAAAAUCUUCCCACUGAUAGUAAUUGUAGAAUCACAGAAUCAUUAAAGCUGGAAAGAACACUAAGAUCAUUAAGUCCAAUCAUCAACUCAGGCCUGUGACUGCCCUAGGCCGUGCCCCUCACUGACACAUUCACAUGGUUCCUGAACACCUCCAGUGACUCCACUACCUCUCCAAGCAGCCUCUUCCAAUGCACAGCCACUCUUUCUGAGAACAGUUGUUUCCUAAUAUCCAGCCUGAACCUCCCAUGCUGCAACUUGAGGCCAUUACCUCUCAUCCUAUUGGUUACCUGGGAGAAGAGGUCAACACCUACCUUACUACAGUGGCAAGCGUGAGCAGGCAAACCCUGUACAGGAC
ensembl:lncRNA